rnacentral:snoRNA from 1 species
GUGAAGGCGGCCGUCGCUGCUGACGGGUGAUGACUAAGCCACAGCCUCGA